rnacentral:rRNA from 1 species
CAGCAGCCGCGGUAAUACGGAGGAUCCAAGCGUUAUCCGGAAUCAUUGGGUUUAAAGGGUCCGUAGGCGGUCUUGUAAGUCAGUGGUGAAAGCCCAUCGCUCAACGGUGGAACGGCCAUUGAUACUGCAGGACUUGAAUUAUUGGGAAGUAACUAGAAUAUGUAGUGUAGCGGUGAAAUGCUUAGAGAUUACAUGGAAUACCAAUUGCGAAGGCAGGUUACUACCAAUUGAUUGACGCUGAUGGACGAAAGCGUGGGUAGCGAACAGGAUUAGAUACCCCCGUAGUCCCUGUCUCUUAUAA